CAACUUAACUCUUCUCUCUCAUUCUCUCAGCCGCUGCCUCCAUUGUGAGACUGUUCCCCGAUUUCCCUCUAGCUCGUAGCUUCAUCCUCCAUCGGUCCAUCCCUCCUCCAUCCAUCCAGUCUGCUCCAUCCCUCUUCCGCUGCUUUGGUAGAUCUGCGAUUCUGCGGCAAUCCCAACUAGUCAACGACGCCGUGGAUCACCUCAAAUCAGGCUGCUACCGCGACCUCUUCUCUCAGAUCGAGGUUCGAGUGCAAGCUAUUCGGGGGCUUCCCCUUUUCUGCAAGGAUACCCUGAACACAUCUCCAGUCUUGUAGACAUUCUUGUGGAACUCCUGGAAGCUGAAUACAUAUAUCUGCAAUCUAGCAGGGACUGAAACAAAACUGAAUCAAGUUGAAACGAUGGCUUUUGAAUCAAGGUUAUGGCUUAUUUGUUCCUUUUACUUUUCUUUUGAAGUUGGUGUUUUGAUUUAUUGGACAGGACUUGAAAGAGUUAAUUUUUUUUAUGCGUUUUGAAGAACCCAGUUGUUCCUUUGAUUAGAUGUUGUUUUAUGCAUGUUUUGAGUUCUUAUUGUCACAAUGAAUAACUGGUACUAGUUCUUAGUAACAAUCUAAUUGCUAGUUCUUUAAAUCUCUAUUUAAA